UGGGGAAUUUUGGACAAUGGGCGAAAGCCUNAUCCAGCAAUGCCGCGUGUGUGAAGAAGGCCUUCGGGUUGUAAAGCACUUUUGUCCGGAAAGAAAUCCUUGGCUCUAAUACAGUCGGGGGAUGACGGUACCGGAAGAAUAAGCACCGGCUAACUACGUGCCAGCAGCCGCGGUAAUACGUAGGGUGCAAGCGUUAAUCGGAAUUACUGGGCGUAAAGCGUGCGCAGGCGGUUUGCUAAGACCGAUGUGAAAUCCCCGGGCUCAACCUGGGAACUGCAUUGGUGACUGGCAGGCUAGAGUAUGGCAGAGGGGGGUAGAAUUCCACGUGUAGCAGUGAAAUGCGUAGAGAUGUGGAGGAAUACCGAUGGCGAAGGCAGCCCCCUGGGCCAAUACUGACGCUCAUGCACGAAAGCGUGGGGAGCAAACAGGAUUAGAUACCCUGGUAGUCCACGCCCUAAAACGAUGUCAACUAGUUGUUGGGGAUUCAUUUCCUUAGUAACGUAGCUAACGCGUGAAGUUGACCGCCUGGGGAGUAC
rnacentral:rRNA from 1 species